ACCUAUAAAAAAACAAAAUAAAAAGUCUGGCAAAAAGGCAUAACAUAAAACAUACUCGCAGGCUUCUACUAUCAUCUUCAUACAACCCUCUUAUUGUUAGCCCUUCAUACAAAGAUGCUUGCUGUUUAAUAUAGAUGCUUGUUGUUUAGAUCUUAGAUGCUUGCUACUUGCUGUUUUAGCCCUUCAUUGUCACUAAAGUAAGGAGGAUUCAAAUGAAGUUGAUUUUGAUCGAGCUAAAAUGUGGAAGAAAGCUCGAGUUAAUAAACAAGGAGAGUACGACAACAACGACGUUCAGCAAGUCGUUCAUAAAAUCAUUGGCUCUGCUGUUGGUGGUACUUAUUUUAGCUCAUGAAUUGGAGGUAGUAGAGGAUGCAGAAUGCAAGUUUAUUUGGAGCCAAGUUUCAUUCAAGGUCAUUGAGUUGGGUUGAUAGAAGUAAUGUUUUGUAUAUGACAAUAUCGAACAAAUAUGUAAAGUUUUCGAAAUGUUGAUACAUAUAUGGUAAAAUGUUAAUAUAUGUUUAAAGUUUUGGAA